rnacentral:rRNA from 1 species
CCUACGGGUGGCAGCAGUGAGGAAUAUUGGUCAAUGGGCUUAAGCCUGAACCAGCCAAGUCGCGUGAGGGAAGACUGCCCUAUGGGUUGUAAACCUCUUUUGUCAGGGAGCAACGCCGGCUACGUGUAGCCGGACUGAGAGUACCCGAAGAAAAAGCAUCCGCUAACUCCGCGCCAGCAGCCGCGGUAAUACGGAGGAUGCGAGCGUUAUCCGGCUUUAUGGGGUUUAAAGGGUGGGUAGGCGGAAUUCCAAGUCAGCGGUAAAAUCGCGGGGCAAAACCUCGCUCCGCCGUUGAAACUGGCGUUCUUGAGUGGGCGGGAAGUAUGCGGAAUGCGUGGUGUAGCGGUGAAAGGCAUAGAUAGC